AGUGAACGCUGGCGGUAGGCCUAACACAUGCAAGUCGAACGGCAGCACAGUAAGAGCUUGCUCUUACGGGUGGCGAGUGGCGGACGGGUGAGGAAUACAUCGGAAUCUACUUUUUCGUGGGGGAUAACGUAGGGAAACUUACGCUAAUACCGCAUACGACCUACGGGUGAAAGCAGGGGAUCUUCGGACCUUGCGCGAUUGAAUGAGCCGAUGUCGGAUUAGCUAGUUGGCGGGGUAAAGGCCCACCAAGGCGACGAUCCGUAGCUGGUCUGAGAGGAUGAUCAGCCACACGGGAACUGAGACACGGUCCAGACUCCUAAGGGAGGCAGCAGUGGGGAAUAUUGGACAAUGGGCGCAAGCCUGAUCCAGCCAUACCGCGUGGGUGAAGAAGGCCUUCGGGUUGUAAAGCCCUUUUGUUGGGAAAGAAAAGCAGCAGGUUAAUACCCCGCUGUUCUGACGGUACCCAAAGAAGAAGCACCGGCUAACUUCGUG
rnacentral:rRNA from 1 species